CCGGUUGAUCCUGCCGGAGGCCACUGCUAUUGGAGUUCGAUUAAGCCAUGCGAGUCCAGGGGGGCUUUGCCCACCGGCGGACGGCUCAGUAACACGUGGACAACCUGCCCUCGGGAGGGGGAUAACCCCUGGAAACUGGGACUAAACCCCCAUAGGUCACAGAUGCUGGAAGGCGCUGUGGCUCAAAUUCCUUCGGGAGCCCGAGGAUGGGUCUGCGGCCUAUCAGGUUGUAGUUAGGGUAACGGCCUAACUAGCCUACGACGGGUACGGGCCCUGAGAGGGGGAGCCCGGAGAUGGACUCUGAGACACGAGUCCAGGCCCUACGGGGCGCAGCAGGCGCGAAAACUUCGCAAUGCAGGAAACUGCGACGAGGGAACUCCAAGUGCCUACGCUCAGCGUAGGCUGUUCUCAAGCCUAGAAAGCUUGAGGAGUAAGGGCUGGGUAAGACGGGUGCCAUCUGUGGUAGCAGUCAUAGAUUCGACUUGUUACUGCAAGGCAUAAGCCGCCGCGGUAAUACCCGCAGCCCAAGUGGUGGCCGCUUUUAUUGGGCCUAAAGCGUCCGUAGCCGGCCCGGUAAAUGCCUGGGUAAAUCAUGGGGCCUAACCCCAUGAAUUCCGGGUAGACUGCCGAGCUCGGGACCGGAAGAGGGAGAGGGUACUUCAGGGGUAGGGGUGAAAUCAGCAAGGUGAGUUGAUGAUGUGACUCGCCUUGCAAGUCACAAUCCUGUAAUCCCUGGAGGACCACCCGUGGCGAAGGCGCUCUCCUAAGACGGGUCCGACGGUGAGGGACGAAAGCCAGGGGAGCAAACCGGAUUAGAUACCCGGGUAGUCCUGGCCGUAAACGAUGUGGACUUGGUAUUCGGGUGGCCAUGAGCUGUCCGAGUGCCGCAGGGAAGCCGUUAAGUCCACCGCCUGGGGAGUACGGUCGCAAGGCUGAAACUUAAAGGAAUUGGCGGGGGAGCACUGCAACGGGAGGAGCGUGCGGUUUAAUUGGAUUCAACGCCGGAAAACUCACCGGGGGAGACUGCCGUAUGUGGGCCAGGCUGAAGACCUUGCCCGAAUAAUAGGUAGAGAGGUGGUGCAUGGCCGCCGUCAGCUCGUACCGUAGGGCGUUCUGUUAAGUCAGGUAACGAGCAAGACCCCUGCCCUUAGUUGCUACUUGUUUCUCCGGAGACAAAGCACACUAGGGGGACCGCUGGCGCUAAGCCAGAGGAAGGAGGGGGCAACGGUAGGUCAGUAUGCCCUGAAUCCUUCGGGCUACACGCGCGCUACAAAGGCUGGGACAAUGGGUUGCUACCCCGAAAGGGGACGCUAAUCUCUAAACCCAGUCGUAGUUCGGACCGAGGGCUGAAACUCGCCCUCGUGAAGGUGGAUUCCGUAGUAAUCGCGUAUCAACAUUGCGCGGUGAAUAUGCCCCUGCUCCUUGCACACACCGCCCGU
rnacentral:rRNA from 1 species